UACAGAGGGUGCAAGCGUUGUCCGGAAUCACUGGGCGUAAAGGGCGCGUAGGCGGCCCGGUAAGUAGGGGGUGAAAUCUCACGGCUCAACUGUGAGGCUGCCUUCUAGACUGCCAGGCUCGAGCACAGUAGAGGCUGGUGGAAUUCCCGGUGUAGCGGUGGAAUGCGUAGAGAUCCGGAAGAACACCAGUGGCGAAGGCGGCCUGCUGGGCAGUUGCUGACGCUGAGGCGCGACAGCGUGGGGAGCAAACAGG
rnacentral:rRNA from 1 species